AUAGAUAAUGGAUGAGCAAGUGACAGACCCCCCCUCUUCCCACCUCCCCUCUUCCCGGGAUCCGGCAGCUCCAGACCUGUUCCCAGGCCCCAGCUCUUCACAGAGAGCUCAGAACAGAGAGUCAAGACCAGGCCGUGGUUCCUCUACCCUGAUCACUUGCUUCGGAAUCCCCUGGAAACCUACCUUCUGCAAUCCUUGCUUUCACCUGCUCAGCCCUGCAGGCUCUUGAGAUCUUCACCGGCAGUGCUUUGCACUGACAGAUGC